rnacentral:lncRNA from 1 species
GUCACAGUUACAUGACAACCUCUACAAAUUAAGUUCGAAGUGUGUGUGCAAUAGAAUUUCAUCUUUGAUUUCAUCACUGUUAAUUAUGUCAACAAUUAGGAAGGAAUCACGUAAAUUUUUCAACUUUCUGCCAACGGACUGGUCAGUAAACAUUUGGAUAGUCACAAGGCUCAUUUCAUAUUUUGUUAUUCUACUACAAUUUACAACUGCAGAACAAAAUGCAAAUAGGGAUGGUUUUUAAGUUGGGCAAUUUAUAAAAGAAAAGGUUGAACGUUCUG